ensembl:lncRNA
AUGACACUCAAACGCUUCCGCCUUUCUAUUUUCUCUGCAAAAGUGCUAAAAAGAGCAUCAGCAGACCAACGUCAAGGAGCAGCGUUUCCUUCCAAAAUGGCCGCGCUUGUGCUGAGUAACGUGCGGUGCUCCGACAUCAGGAUGUCUAAAGCAGCAGAGGAGGAGAAGCCUGGGACUGAGUAUCCAGGGGACAGUUCAGACUCUAACAGGAACAGCCCCGAUGACCAGGUCCAGCCGAUGAAAACAAGCCCUUCAGACGUCUCCCCAACACGGACCGUCAGCAAGGUGAGCCCCAUCUUGUGUGUGUUUAUGUGUGUGUUUGUUUAUGUGUGUGCAAUCCCAGCUCAUAAAAUGUCAAAUAUUGGAUGUCAUCCGCUUAAAUAUCAAAGAUCAAUCAAACCGUGUGUGAUUAUUUUAUGUUAA